GAUGAAGAACGUAGCAAAAUGCGAUAAGUAAUGUGAAUUGCAGAAUUCAGUGAAUCAUCGAAUCUUUGAACGCACAUUGCGCCCGCCAGUAUUCUGGCGGGCAUGCCUGUUCGAGCGUCAUUUCAACCCUCAAGCCCUCGGGUUUGGUGUUGGGGAUCGGCGAGCCUUUCUGGCAAGCCGGCCCCGAAAUCUAGUGGCGGUCUCGCUGCAGCCUCCAUUGCGUAGUAGUAAAACCCUCGCAACUGGAACGCGGCGCGGCCAAGCCGUUAAACCCCCAACUUCUGAAUGUUGACCUCGGAACAGGUAGGAAUACCCGCUGAACUUAAGCAUAUCAAUAAGCGGAGGA
rnacentral:misc_RNA from 1 species